UUUGAGAAUCAUAAAUGUUAAAUGUACUGCAGAAGAGACCCUGACUGCACAGAUGUAUUUCCUUUGGACCUCUGUGGGCUUGGGAAGAACAGGGUUACAUGCAAACGACUCUUGACAGGCACUGACAGGAGCUGACAAGGAAAAGGUUACAUGGGUACUUCAAGUUCUUGUUGCCACAUCCUUCUGCAAGGAAAGAGGAAAGGCUCUUUGACUGAUAAAAUCUGCAUAAAAUCCUCUUUGACAAUUGCAUCUUCUAUCUCGAAAUUAUCUCUAAAAUAUCCCAAAGCGAUGGUAUUCAAUAUGGUGGUGACCAGAAGGCACUGUUUUGCAAGUGCAGAAGAAAACUGAUUUGGAGUGAGAUGGAAUUUUCCAGACACUAUCUUUUAUAUUUAACAGGUGAUGUGAGCACUGAUUCUGGCUGCUGACAGUGAUGUGAAAGCAUGGAAGAUACAGAAUUGUUCCCCUGUCUGCUGCUGGGAAAGUGCUGGGAGCAGAACCUGGUCCUUGGAGAGCUCCAAGGGCAAGAAAACGAGGAGGUUCUGCUCCCCAAAUUCCUUGACUAUCUUGUACAUUUUUAAAAAGUUACAGAGAGGAAUCUAAGGGAGAGGAACCUAUGGACUCACAGGGUCAAAAGCACCAACCAGAGCGAGCACAGAAAACGAGCAGGGCAAGUCCCUGUUUUGUGCAAACCCUUGCCCCACCUCCUCAGAUGUUUUCCUGUCUACUGAUGCCAUCAGUAUCUGGUUUACAGCAAAAGCAUUGCUCUGUCCUCCUCACAAGCAGCCCAUCACCAGAGGUGGGAGCUGCACAUACAUAUUCUGGCCCUUCCCCCACAAAUACUUCUCAUUAAGUGUGACAGGCUUCUGAAGAAGUAUUGUUACUUGUAAAUAAAAUAUGGUUGCUAAGAGACACUAUGAUUAACAUGCUGACAAUACAACCUUCUUUGAUUGUUUGGGCACCAAUUGUCUGCUUCUGUAAUCUGUGAGGAAAUAAUUUUUUGGAGGAGAUUUGUCAGGCUGAGAAAACUAGGUUUUUUUAGAUUCUUUUAAAAUUAAAUUAGAGUCUAGUGUUUCCAUACAAAGAAAGGGUCUCCAAGCCAUAACUCUUCUUAUUUUUUUUUUUUUUUUGGCACAUCACGAGUUUUGUGUUUCUGUUUAUGUUAAUUUUUCAGCUAGGAAAAUAAGGUUAGCGUUAAUAAUGUAUCUGUCAAAAUAUUCGAAUAAAGAAAACUGGAAGCUUGGGCUCAUUAAAUUUUCAUGUAUAAAUUCUAUAUAUUAAUUUUCUUUUUGCUGGUUCUAGUCUCAUUUUAAAUUUCUCCUCCUCUCAAAUUCUUCCAGCUAUUUGGGACUUUUGAAAUUAACUUUUUUGAUCUACAUCUAGAAACCACUCACACCGUUAUUCCUGAUCCUG